CACUAAGAAGCUAACACACAGCACUAGCCUUUUAAGCUAGAGAGGGAAACUCGUCUUCCCUUAGUGG
rnacentral:tRNA from 1 species